rnacentral:rRNA from 1 species
UACGUAGGGUGCAAGCGUUGUUCGGAAUUACUGGGCGUAAAGCGCGCGCAGGCGGUCUUCCAAGUCAGUGGUGAAAGCCUGGAGCUCAACUCCAGAACUGCCAUUGAAACUGUUAGACUUGAGUACGAGAGAGGUGAGUGGAAUUCCCAGUGUAGAGGUGAAAUUCGUAGAUAUUGGGAAGAACACCAGUGGCGAAGGCGGCUCACUGGCUCGUAACUGACGCUCAGGCGCGACAGCGUGGGGAUCAAACGGG